rnacentral:rRNA from 1 species
UGGGGAAUUUUGGACAAUGGGCGAAAGCCUGAUCCAGCAAUGCCGCGUGUGUGAAGAAGGCCUUCGGGUUGUAAAGCACUUUUGUCCGGAAAGAAAUCCUUGGCUCUAAUACAGUCGGGGGAUGACGGUACCGGAAGAAUAAGCACCGGCUAACUACGUGCCAGCAGCCGCGGUAAUACGUAGGGUGCAAGCGUUAAUCGGAAUUACUGGGCGUAAAGCGUGCGCAGGCGGUUUGCUAAGACCGAUGUGAAAUCCCCGGGCUCAACCUGGGAACUGCAUUGGUGACUGGCAGGCUAGAGUAUGGCAGAGGGGGGUAGAAUUCCACGUNUGAGCAGUGAAAUGCGUAGAGAUGUGGAGGAAUACCGAUGGCGAAGGCAGCCCCCUGGGCCAAUACUGACGCUCAUGCACGAAAGCGUGGGGAGCAAACAGGAUUAGAUACCCUGGUAGUCCACGCCCUAAAACGAUGUCAACUAGUUGUUGGGGAUUCAUUUCCUUAGUAACGUAGCUAACGCGUGAAGUUGACCGCCUGGGGAGUACGUCGCAAGAUUAAAACUCAAAGGAAUUGAC